CCCUUAGAUGUUCUGGGCCGCACGCGCGCUACACUGAUGCAUUCAACGAGUCUAAAACCUGGUCUGAUAGGGCUGGGUAAUCUUUUGAAAGUGCAUCGUGAUUGGGAUAGAUGAUUGCAAUUCUUCAUCUUCAACGAGGAAUGCCUAGUAAACGCAAGUCAUCAGCUUGCAUUGAUUACGUCCCUGCCCUUUGUACACACCGCCCGUCGCUCCUACCGAUUGAAUGAUCCGAUGAAUACCAUGGAUUGAGAGUACGAAUGGGUUCGCUCAUUUCUGCUGCUCGAGAAGUGGAGUAAAUCUUGUCAUUUAGAGGAAGGAGAAGUCGUAACA
rnacentral:rRNA from 1 species